CCUGUUGGCACUCACUCUCUCUCCAGUACUCUGUGAAGAGGUGCCUUCUCCAUGAUUGUAAGUUUCCUCAUUCUCUCUCCAGCUGCUCUGUAAAGAGGUGCUUUCUCCAUGAUCGCAAGUUUCCUCAUUCUCUCUCCAAUGCUCUGUGAAGAGGUGCCUCCUCCAUGAUUGUAAGUUUCCUCAUUCUCUCUCCAGCUGCUCUGUGAAGAGGUGCUUUCUCCAUGAUUGCAAGUUUCCUCAUUCUCUCUCCAGCCACUCUGUGAAGAGGUGCUUUCUCCAUGAUUGCAAGUUUCCUCAUUCUCUCUCCAGCCAUUCUGUGAAGAGGUACCUUCUCCAUGAUUCAUUCCACCACAGGAUGACGCAGCAAGAAGGCACCCUCACAAAUGUGGCCCCUCAAUCUUACAUUCAGCCUCCAGACCGUGAGCCA
rnacentral:lncRNA from 13 species